rnacentral:misc_RNA from 1 species
GAUGAAGAACGUAGCGAAAUGCGAUAAGUAAUGCGAAUUGCAGAAUUCCAGUGUGUCAUCGAAUCUUUGAACGCACAUUGCGCCCUUUGGUAUUCCGAAGGGCAUGCCUGUUCGAGCGUCAUUAUCACCCCUCAAGCCCUCGGCUUGGUGUUGGACGGUUUGGUGGAGGCCCCCUCGGGGGCUCCUGCCCCUCCCAAAGACAAUGACGGCGGCCUCGUUGGACCCCCGGUACACUGAGUUCUUCACGGGACACGUAUCGGACACAUGGGUUUACGGGACACGGUCUGCCUCCCCUCAGGGAGAAUCUUUCUAAGGUUGACCUCGGAUCAGGUAGGGAUACCCGCUGAACUUAAGCAUAUCAAUAAGCGGAGGA